rnacentral:rRNA from 1 species
UUGCUCUUCAACGAGGAAUCCCUAGUAAGCGCAAGUCAUCAGCUUGCGUUGAUUACGUCCCUGCCCUUUGUACACACCGCCCGUCGCUACUACCGAUUGAAUGGCUCAGUGAGGCUUUCGGACUGGUCCAGGGAGGUCGGCAACGACCACCCAGGACUGGAAAGUUAUCCAAACUCGGUCAUUUAGAGGAAGUAAAAGUCGUAACAAGGUCUCCGUUGGUGAACCAGCGGAGGGAUCAUUAGCGAGUAUAACUCUCUAAAACCAUUGUGAACGAACAGACCGGUUGCUUCGGCGGACGGCUCGCCGCCGCCGAAAGAACUCAAACUCUUGUUAUUAUUGUCUCUCUGAGUAAUUUACUUAAUAAGUUAAAACUUUCAACAACGGAUCUCUUGGUUCUGGCAUCGAUGAAGAACGCAGCGAAAUGCGAUAAGUAAUGUGAAUUGCAGAAUUCAGUGAAUCAUCGAAUCUUUGAACGCACAUUGCGCCCGCCAGUAUUCUGGCGGGCAUGCCUGUUCGAGCGUCAUUUCAACCAUCAAGCCUCAGGCUUGUGUUGGGGGCCUGCAGCUGCUGCAGCCCCCUAAAAGCAGUGGCGGACUCGCUGUCAUACCGAGCGCAGUAGUUACAUCUCGCUCUGGGCGUGGCGGCGGGCACCUGCCGUGAAACACUCUUUCUAAGGUUGACCUCGGAUCAGGUAGGAAUACCCGCUGAACUUAAGCAUAUCAAUAAGCGGAGGA